UCCGAAUUGACUCCGGCAGUCUCCUACGAGUCCCCGCCAUUACGCGCUGGCAACAUAGGAUAAGGGUUGCGCUCGUUGCGGGACUUAACCCAACAUCUCACGACACGAGCUGACGACAGCCAUGCAGCACCUCGACUCUAGUCCCUUGCGGGAAAACCAUGUUUCCAUAGUCGUUCACGAGCCGUUCGAGCCCAGGUAAGGUUCUUCGCGUUGCGUCGAAUUGAACCACAUGCUCCACCGCUUGUGCGGGCCCCCGUCAAUUCCUUUGAGUUUCGGCCUUGCGGCCGUACUCCCCAGGCGGGGCACUUAAUGCGUUAGCGACGACACUCAGGGGGUCGCUCCCCCAAGCAUCUAGUGCCCAUCGUUUAGGGCGUGGACUAC
rnacentral:misc_RNA from 1 species